CUCACUGGAGAUUCCUGAGUGCCUGAGGCCUUCCAAGGGGAAGGAGGUGGAAGUGCUCCUGGCUGCAGAGAAGCAUGCUGAAGUUGGUGGUGUGGUCAGGUGCAGCAGUGGCAGAGCUUAGCAGGCAUUCAUACAUUGUUUUGGAUAGAUUCAAGAUGUCGGUAAGAAACGUUCACCACAUUGCCCUGUUUUCAUGCUAAUCUAUAGCAAGAAAUCUUUUCUCCUGCUAAGUGACAGAUGACAGGAAGGCAGAAGGUACAGUUACUUGGCAGCGGAUUGCCAAAGAGAAGUGGCAUAAUUAGGGCCUUCCUUGAUUGCUGAUCUGGAACUAAGUGCCCAAGGUUAAUCAUCAAAGAACAGCAAUUCCCGGCCAUAAGGAUUGAGGCUGUUCAAAGUGAUCAUUUAAUUUUAUUGCUUGCCAGAGGCUAUGGAAAAUCUAGAGAGACUGCUUCCCCAUAUCAGUCUGUCAGGAGAAUCACCUAUUGGGCUGGUCUCAGUGCUGGGAGCAUCUCAUCAUCAGCUUGGUGCCGUGGUGGAUAGAUCAGCACAGAGAUGCCUGGAGGCACUGAAGAAUGCGGAGAGAGCAAAAGCAUGCGCUGGAGGAAAAGCAGGAGGCUGUUAAUUGUAGGCAGUAGUGACUGAACUUUGUGUGGCUACAGAUUAAGAGUUUCCCAGUGGUUUUAUGGUGUAGAUGUGACUGACCGUAUUGUGGUGCUGCAGCUAAGCAGGCAGAAGAGCACAGAAUUGGAGGAGAGCCCCUGCUCAUACCCUGCACAGAGGUGUGCCCAGUUCUUAACUCUGGCAAAUUUGCACAAACACAUCAGGAACUGAAAAAUCCCCACUCUUCAGGUUUUUCUGACUCCCGGAUCCCAAGGGCCGUUUGUGCAAUUAAUUGCUCCUGACAGACUUCAGUAGGAGAUUGAGGUUUGUGUUCACUGCAGUUCUGUGCUCCAGCAUAUGCUAGGCAUACCUUGACCCAGUGCAAAUUGCAGAGUUUCACUAAAUGCAGUGUUACAGAAGGUAUUGAUAUUACAAAUGGGAUUUUGUUGCUAUGACUGACGUCCUCAAAUACCCGUAUCAUCUUAAUGCAAGAAAACCCUAGAACCCAGCACAGUGUAACUUUCUAAACCAGAUCAGUCAGAUGCCACCGUAGUGCUUAGAAUUUAGAUGUUUUAAGUAGUUUUGUUUUGCUGGUAAUUUAAUCUCCUCCUGUGUUUCUGUAGUGCACCCCUGUAGCUGACAUGAGGGGUCUGAGGCUCGUGUUCUCACACAGCUCCCACGGCAGAACUGCACUGCAGGGAGGCGGGUUCUGGGCAUGCAAGGUAGCAGUGCCUGACUCGGUUCUGUUGAGCUGUCUCAGGGAAUGACCUGAGAAUGGAACAAAGGGAAAUGCUUCUUCCCUGGUCGCUGUGCAGGGAUGUUUGUGGGUACUCUGCUGUCUGAUUGGAUUUUAAGACCAGAUCAGUAGCUGAAUUCCAAAUAAAGAAUGAGAGUUGUGCCAGACAAAG
ensembl:lncRNA